AUUGAACGCUGGCGGAAUGCUUUACACAUGCAAGUCGAACGGUAGAGGGGGCAACCCCUUGAGAGUGGCGAACGGGUGAGUAAUAUAUCGGAACGUGCCCAGUCGUGGGGGAUAACGUAGCGAAAGUUACGCUAAUACCGCAUACGAUCUAAGGAUGAAAGCGGGGGAUCGCAAGACCUCGCGCGAUUGGAGCGGCCGAUAUCAGAUUAGGUAGUUGGUGGGGUAAAGGCUCACCAAGCCAACGAUCUGUAGCUGGUCUGAGAGGACGACCAGCCACACUGGAACUGAGACACGGUCCAGACUCCUACGGGAGGCAGCAGUGGGGAAUUUCGGACAAUGGGCGCAAGCCUGAUCCAGCAAUGCCGCGUGCAGGAUGAAGGCCUUCGGGUUGUAAACUGCUUUGUACGGAACGAAAGACUCUGGUAAUACCUGGGUUC
rnacentral:rRNA from 1 species